rnacentral:rRNA from 1 species
AGUAGUUUGAUCCUGGCUCAGGACGAACGCUGGCGGCGUGCUUAACACAUGCAAGUCGAACGAGAAGCACUGGAAGGAGUUUUCGGACAACGGAAGGUGUGGAAAGUGGCGGACGGGUGAGUAACGCGUGAGGAACCUGCCUCGGAGUGGGGGACAACAGUUGGAAACGACUGCUAAUACCGCAUAACGUAUCUUUAUCGCAUGGUAGGGAUACCAAAGAUUUAUCGCUCUGAGAUGGCCUCGCGUCUGAUUAGGUAGUUGGUGGGGUAACGGCCCACCAAGCCGACGAUCAGUAGCCGGACUGAGAGGUUGAACGGCCACAUUGGGACUGAGAUACGGCCCAGACUCC